UCACUUCAUUCAACAGCAUUACUUUUUACCAGAAAUAAAACUGAAGACCAGAGAAGUUAAGUCUUGGCUCAGUUUCCAGCUUAUCAGAGGCAGAGUGGAUGCAAGGGUCCUGGUCUAUGAUUCACAUUUGAGUGCUCUCCACUCAUCCUAUCAGCUUCAGCCACACAAAACAACCUGUGUGCCACUCAGAACCCAGUUUCUUUCUGCCUUGAGAGUGAGAGCAAGGAGACGACACACACUAAAAAGAGCCAGAAGCUCUCAGAGAUGACCACAGGAUGGAGAAUGUCGGGGGUAGUACAGCGUGGUGCAAGAAGCUCCAGCUCUGGGGCCAGUUGGACAGGGUUUGAUUCCAACUCUGGCACCUGUCAGUGGAGCAGCCUCAGUGAUGCCUCUCAUCUUCACGUUCUUUGCUUGAUAGAACAACAUGGCUGUCCAAGCACCAGACUUCAUGGGAAAGGAGAGGAGAGCUCAGGGAGCUUCCUUUCUGACUAUUCCGUGAAGGAUUUUAUUCUCUGGAAAAAAUGUAAGUCUACUGCAUGGAUACAAACUUGAAGAAUUAUUUUUGCAAGUUGAGUAUCUUGUUAAAAAUAAGAAAAGAGACAUUUUCAUAUAGAAAUGUUCCUCAGUCAGAGGAUAAGUUGAAAAUCUUCAUUCGGUUUCCCAUGUGUAUUUGUAAUUCUUGAGCCAAAGUAGGAUAUAAGGGCAGCCCUAUA
rnacentral:lncRNA from 1 species